rnacentral:misc_RNA from 1 species
UCUGUCUAUCCCUUUUUGUUCCUCUUACUUUGCCUCUCCCUUGCCCUCUCUUUGCCUCUCUCUCUCCAUGUCUCUCACCUUUUCUUCCUUGCUAUUUGUUUCUCUCCCAAUCAAUCCCUCUUCUUUCUUCUUAUUUUUGUCUCUCUUUCUUAUAUUUCUCUCAUUAUCUUUCCCCUAUUUAUCUUUCUAUAUUUCUCAAAAGAAUUUUCAAAAUCUGAAAAAAG